GGGGCCGUGAUGCGCGCGAGCGUGGUGUGUGUGGGAGAACGCGGGGUGAUUGACGUUCAGUCGAGAUGGCGUCGAGUCAAGUGUGAGUGAGUUUUGACCAAAUUACUGCGGAAAACGUUAAUUAAACAAGAUUUUUUCAGAUCAGUUUGGAGCCAGGGCAUGUGCAGAAGGAAUCGUACGUGGAGCCUCGGUAUCAAACUUUCGCCCAAACGCUUGCAUGCCCAAUUCAACCACGCCCCUUGAACAUCUCAUUUGACUAGCUUGCUAAAAUGAGUGCUCUCAGAGAAGCUGUCAAUCACAAAUGUCAAUCAGGCAACAGGCAAUUACGUUAUAUGUCUCUCUGGAAAAUGGAAAACCCGGAAUGGAUGCCUUUACAGAACGCUUUGAGAGGUUUAUUUAUUCACACAGGAAUAUCCAGGUUUUACUCUGUAAAGUAACCAGCAAAGCUUAAAGGGGACAUUUCACAAGAUUUUUAAAAGUUUAAAUAUGUCUUUGGUGUC